CCUACGGGAGGCAGCAGUGAGGAAUAUUGGUCAAUGGUCGGGAGACUGAACCAGCCAAGCCGCGUGAGGGAGGAAGGUACAGAGUAUCGUAAACCUCUUUUGUCAGGGAACAAAGGCGGGGACGUGUCCCCGGAUGAGUGUACCUGAAGAAAAAGCAUCGGCUAACUCCUUGCCAGCCGCCGCGGUAAUACGGAGGAUGCGAGCGUUAUCCGGAUUUAUUGGGUUUAAAGGGUGCGCAGGCGGUCUGUUAAGUCAGCGGUCAAAGCCCGGGGCUCAACCCCGGCCCGCCGUUGAAACUGGCAGGCUUGAGUUGGAGAGAAGUAUGCGGAAUGCGCGGUGUAGCGGUGAAAUGCAUAGAGAUCGCGCAGAACUCCGAUUGCGAAGGCAGCAUGCCGGCUCCACACUGACGCUGAGGCACGAAAGCGUGGGUAUCGAACAGGAUUAGAUACCCUUGUAGUC
rnacentral:rRNA from 1 species